rnacentral:rRNA from 1 species
GACGAACGCUGGCGGCGCGCCUAACACAUGCAAGUCGAACGAGCGAGCGAGAGCUUGCUUUCGUGAUCGAGUGGCGAACGGGUGAGUAACGCGUGAGGAACCUGCCUCAGAGAGGGGGAUAACAGCUGGAAACGACUGCUAAUACCGCAUAAGCGCACGGUGUCGCAUGGCACAGUGGGAAAAGGAGCAAUCCGCGGUGAGAUGGCCUCGCGUCCGAUUAGCUAGUUGGUGAGGUAACGGCCCACCGAGGCGACGGUUGGUAGCCGGGCUGGGAGGUUGCACGGCCACAUUUGGACUGCGGCCCGGCCCCGACUCCUACGGGAGGCAGCAGUGGGGAAUAUUGCACAAUGGGGGAAACCCUGAUGCAGCGACGCCGCGUGGAGGAAGAAGGUCUUCGGAUUGUAAACUCCUGUUGUUGGGGAAGAUAAUGACGGUACCCAACAAGGAAGUGACGGCUAACUACGUG